rnacentral:lncRNA from 1 species
GCUACCAAGACGGGACGGCUCGAGACCACGCCGGUACGGAGGCCUCGAGUAGGUCAGCGCGCCAUGCCUCUAUCGACCCCUACUCUGACACCUAUACAUGUACCCUAAGUCUCUCCUUGGAGCUAUAAAAGGGGAGACCCGGGAAUAGACAUAACACACGCAACACUACACUCCUACGCAGUAGAACUCCCAUACUCCAUCUCAUUCCAUACCACACUUGUAUUCGCCCCUGUACAAGCACUUAGGUGCAAGAUAAUACAAACUUCCCCCCCGCUGGACGUAGGGCCUUCUCUUGCCCGAACCAGGAUAAAUCUUUGUGUCUUCUUGCAUCACCAUCUGGGAAAGAGAGCACGCAUACAAAUUCACUCGUUGGUGUGACCCCCGGUGGGGAAAACACUGACAGCUUUGUUGUCUAUUUGAGCUCCACAGAAUUCAAGGAUCAAAGAAGACUAGCAGACGGGGGACAUCCUAAUCGUUGUCAAGGUGCUGCCGACAUUCAAAUACACCUCCGCCACCUACUAGCUACAUCAGAAGAAAUUACGUCAAAAUCCAGCUUGGGGGAGAGCACCCCCAUUUAUCCAGCUAAGUGUUUCUACUCGCAUUUAUACUUUACUCAAAUAAUAAAAGAUGCAUAAUCAUGAAAACCCAAAUAAAGAUUUUUGUGCUUUUAUAUAUAUAUAUAUAUAUAUAUAUAUAUAUAUAUAUAUAUAUAUAUAUCUUUGCUUAGUUUGCUAAAUAAAUAAAUAAAGUUUGCUAUGAACCCUCGUGAUAAACUCUCACAUGGAAAUGAUGAAUAGUUGCUAUUCCAUGACUAGUUCUUAAAAUUGAAAUCUCUCUCAAGUUUAGGCAUAACUGUUAUAAUUUAAACCUGCUCUAAACCUGAACUUGUGGGAAGAGUACUUGAUCUAAAGUCUAAGUCGUUAACGGAUAUGACAUGGGAAGGUUGAGCUGCUGUUUAUCUGUUCCUAGAGAUGCUAGAAUUCUGGAGAAUUUUAUCUUUGAAAAUCUUUAAAAUAACACAUGAUGAGUUCCUGUAUGAUGAGAGUUUAAAUUCCUACCACGGCCAUAUAUACAUGCUUAUUAGACUUUGAGCCACACAUUUACUUUUUACUACUUAUGAGCAUUGAGUGUGGUCAAGCUGUGUAGACCAUUAGGAGCUUGUCAUGUGGUUAAAAUCAAGAUUCACUUGCAUGUUCACUCAUAUAUGCUGCUUCUACUCCGGAAAUACGCAUCCACAUACAUCCACUCAUUUCCAUCUCCAGAUUCACCCAAAAUUAUUCUACUCCUAAUCCGGGAGAGAAUAGCAAAAAACAUUUUCCAAUCCCUGUUAUUCCCUGUGAAAUAAAUGCUCCAGUUAUUUUGGUUACUACAACUUGCUAUAUUAUUUCAGGAGAUGAGUGCUCUAAAAAAUAAAAAAAAAAUAAAAAAAAAGAGAAGAAGAAAAAAGAGGAAAAAUACGAGAAAAUAAAAAGGGGCAAGUGCCCGGAACCUCGAAGAAAAGAAAAAGUGAGACGAGAGGUAAAAAUGGACAAGUGUCCGACAGUAGAAUUAGGUGUACAAGAUACCCACCUGAGAGGAAAGAAAAAGAAAAUAUAGAGCAUCUCAUUCUCCUCAAAAAGCUUCAAAGUGCAAGAAAGGUAUGUAUCCCCUUAAAAGAGCAAAAUUAGAAUUAGACUUUCACCAUUGUUAUCACCAUCAUCACCAUACACCAUUCAUUCGCCACACAUGCACAUCUUGAUUUGACUUAUUGACUUGUUUCUCUGGAUCCAUGGUUUGACUAUGCAAUAAAUGUCUUGUAAGUAUGUGUUAGCUGUCUCCCACCUAUGAGCUCCAGAUAUCAAAACCUUAUUAGAGUAGGGUGAGAGAGAUGGCAAUAUCACUAUGCCUCAUACCAAAAAUAUCACAUACUUUGAGAGAAGGCAUAUACCAUUACUGCCUCGGUAAGGAUCCAGAAAUACCACAAAAGAGAGACUAGAGAGAGUCAUACAGGGAAUCUCUGAGUUUUAUUUUGAAAAUCUGCAAAAACUCCGGAGCUAUAGUUAAUCAAAGAACAAGAGACAUAGCGCUUGACUUGACCGUUCUAUCUUUUAACUGCUCAAGACACAAGUGACGGUUACAAGCCCCACGGUGAAAAGUAAAAUGAGUAAGUUUUAAGUCUUAACAGUUUAUUCUAACUCAGAGAUGAGAUCUUGCUUGAAUGCGUGUGUACUUUUAAGGCAUGAAACCACUGCAGAAACUCUUGAGUUCAUCCUUGCUCAGGGACGAGCAAGGGGUAAGCAUGGGGGAGUUGUUGACAGUCCUUAAGUACCAAAUAUAAUCAUCAAAUAAAUAAAAAAAGGAUCCAACUGCAACCAACACCCAGACUUAGGGUUUUAUCCGACAGAAUUCGACGAGUUUUUGUGUUUGUCUAUUUCUGCAGGGGGUUAUCAGGAAAUAAGGAAGAAAGGCCCACAUAUCGGGAUUACAUAGAGAUAUCAACGCACCGCGCAAUUUUCUACCAUCUAGAAGACUUCAGAAGCCACGGGAAGGAAGCGGAGGCCGAAAGGGGCCAGGCCUAGGGCGCCCGCCCUGAGGACCUGGGCGCCCGCCCCCUGUUGGACUCCGUUCGGGACUCUCUUCGCACACGAUGUUCCACCGACCUAAUGGAUCAUGGAUAAUGUAGUACCACAUCGUCUACCGACCCAAAAAUGCAUAGAGGAGGAGGACUAUAUAAGGAGACCCCCCUAGCCCCUGGAGAAGACAAGAAGUUAUCAUAGAGAUUGAGGGGUGCCCUCGAAGGAAAACCUCUUCUCUAAAUAAUAUUUCUUUUUAGGCUUAGCAACCAAUGUAAGUAGAAAUAGAUCUUCUAGUUUCUACUAGAUUGAGAGAGAUAGAGUGGAGGUGUAGAUCGGAGGAAGGCCGGC